GAUGAACGCUGGCGGCGUGCCUAAUACAUGCAAGUCGAGCGAACAGACGAGGAGCUUGCUCCUUUGACGUUAGCGGCGGACGGGUGAGUAACACGUAGGUAACCUACCUAUAAGACUGGGAUAACUUCGGGAAACCGGAGCUAAUACCGGAUAAUAUUUCGAACCGCAUGGUUCGAUAGUGAAAGAUGGCUUUGCUAUCACUUAUAGAUGGACCUGCGCCGUAUUAGCUAGUUGGUAAGGUAACGGCUUACCAAGGCAACGAUACGUAGCCGACCUGAGAGGGUGAUCGGCCACACUGGAACUGAGACACGGUCCAGACUCCUACGGGAGGCAGCAGUAGGAAAUCUUCCGCAAUGGGCGAAAGCCUGACGGAGCAACGCCGCGUGAGUGAUGAAGGUCUUCGGAUCGUAAAACUCUGUUAUUAGGGAAGAACAAACGUGUAAGUAACUGUGCACGUCUUGACGGUACCUAAUCAGAAAGCCACGGCUAACUACGUG
rnacentral:rRNA from 1 species